CUAAAAUUUAUUGACUUAAAUAUUUAAUUUAUGGCCGAUCCCUUUCGUUCGUAUUAUCAUUUUAAAAAAAAUCAUAAUGUGUACUAUUUACGUGCUUAGUUAUGAACUGCUAAUGAAUCUGUUAAAAGGUCACCCCUCUUAUAAGGUCACUUUUGUGAUGUUCUUUAGGGUGACCUUAUAUCGAGGCCUGACUGUAUAUACAGAAUUUUUUUCAUUGUCACUUUACUUCAAUAAUUUAUUAAAAAUAAUUUAAUUAAUUUAGUAUUUGUAUGUAAAUAAAAUUACAGAUUUCAAAAAACCAUUAAUGGUAAAAGAAAUGUUCUUAACUCUCCUAAUUUCUGUAACCUUUUCCAUGAAACCCAUGGGCUACAUGGAACAUCUUGUGGGAAUACUUAAAAAGGUUUCACUGUAAUACACUUAUGAUGACUGCUUAAUGAAAUAGCAGUAAUCUC